UACAGAGGUCUCAAGCGUUGUUCGGAUUCAUUGGGCGUAAAGGGUGCGUAGGUGGCGCUGUAAGUCGGGUGUGAAAUUUCGGAGCUUAACUCCGAAACUGCAUUCGAUACUGCCGUGCUUGAGGACUGGAGAGGAGACUGGAAUUUACGGUGUAGCAGUGAAAUGCGUAGAUAUCGUAAGGAAGACCAGUGGCGAAGGCGGGUCUCUGGACAGUUCCUGACGCUGAGGCACGAAGGCCAGGGGAGCAAACGGG
rnacentral:rRNA from 1 species